GCCGGGCAUGGUGGUGCAUGCCUGUAAUCCCAGCUACUCGGGAGGCUGAGGCACGAGAAUUGCUUGAGCCCAGGAGGCAGAGGUUGCAGUGAGCCGAAACUGUGCCACUGCACUCCAGCCUGGGCGACAGAGCAAAAUCUGUCUCAA
rnacentral:SRP_RNA from 1 species